UACGUAGGGGGCGAGCGUUGUCCGGAUUUAUUGGGCGUAAAGAGCGCGUAGGCGGCCAGGUAAGUCCGACGUGAAAUCUGGAGGCUCAACCUCCAGCGGUCGUUGGAAACUACCUGGCUAGAGUCCGGAAGAGGAGAGUGGAAUUCCUGGUGUAGCGGUGAAAUGCGCAGAUAUCAGGAAGAACACCGAUGGCGAAAGCAGCUCCCUGGGACGGUACUGACGCUGAGGCGCGAAAGCGUGGGGAGCAAACAGG
rnacentral:rRNA from 1 species